GACGAACCGAGCGAACGUUGUUCGGAAUCACUGGGCUUAAAGGGCGCGUAGGCGGUGUCGCAAGUCGGUAGUGAAAUCUCCAGGCUCAACUUGGAGUCUGCUGCCGAAACUGCGGUGCUUGAGUGUGGGAGAGGUGCGUGGAAUUCAUGGUGUAGCAGUGAAAUGCGUAGAGAUCAUGAGGAAGACCAGUGGCGAAGGCGGGUCUCUGGACAGUUCCUGACACUGAGACACGAAGGCCAGGGGAGCAAACGGG
rnacentral:rRNA from 1 species